rnacentral:tRNA from 1 species
GGGGACGUGGCGAAAUUGGUAGACGCACUGGANNAGGUGUGAGAGUUCGAGUCUCUCCGUCCCCACCA